UAUGGUUAUAUCACGUUGAAAACACUGGUUUUCGUACAAUAUCCGAAGUUAAGCAGCAUCGAGCCUGGUUAUUACUUGGAUAGGUAAUCGCAUGGAAAUACCAGGCACUGUAAG